rnacentral:rRNA from 1 species
GAUGAACGCUGGCGGCGUGCCUAAUACAUGCAAGUCGAGCGAACAGACGAGGAGCUUGCUCCUCUGACGUUAGCUGCGGACGGGUGAGUAACACGUAGGUAACCUACCUAUAAGACGGGGAUAACUUCUGGAAACCGUAGCUAAUACCGGAUAAUAUAUUUAACCGCAUGGUUCAAUAUUGAAAGACGGUUUUGCUUUCACUUAAAAAGGAAUCCGCUCGUCAUUAGCUAGUUGGUAAGGUAACGGCUUACCAAGGCAACGAUGCGUACCCGACCUGGGAGGGUGAUCGGCACAACUGGAACUGAGAAACGGUCAAGACCCCUAGGGGAGGAAGAAGUAGGGAAUCUCGCGAAAUGGGCGAACGCCUGACGGAGAACCGCGGGGUGAGUGAUGAAGGUCUUCGGAUCGUAAACUUCUGUUAUUAGGGAAGAACAAAUGUGUAAGUAACUAUGCACGUCUUGACGGUACCUAAUCAGAAAGCCACGGCUAACUACGUG